CUAACCUAAUGUUUUUAAGGAUUGGAAAGAAAGUCAUGAUAAUCCAGGUUAUCAUGAUAGCUUCAAAAUAAGGGGGUGGAACACGUGACAUGUAAGAUUCAAGUGAGCAGCAUGGAUAGUGUUAAGCUAUGAGCAGAGGCAACUUGCAUUGUGCAUGCAUUCUGGGCGUUCAAUAGCAUGAUGGACAGAGUUUGGACAAUAAUGAGCAUCAUGACAUAGCAUUGGCAGAGGUGUACAGUGGGUAGCAACUGUGGUAUAUGGAGAUUAGGGUUCACUCUUCACCAAAUGAGGGAUGAGGCAAAGACAUAGGUUCGGCCAGUUCCAACAGAAACAAACUUGUUUCAGUGUAUAAAAAUUCCAAGAGGGAGCUUAAAUAUUUAGCAAAACCCAGUCUACCUAAUAAGUGGGUUGACAGAUAAUGUCGAGGUCUGUUUUGCAUAGAAAAACAAGUAACAUUUGGUUGCAAAAAAACCAUUGUAAACUGUUGCAAUGCAUUACAGGACUUAGCACAAGUAACAUUUAACAGCACAAUAGUAAAUCCAUGAGCUUUCAUCAUAAAACAACAAAAAUGACAAACAAAAGUAUUCAUUGAAAAUUUGCN
rnacentral:lncRNA from 1 species